rnacentral:rRNA from 1 species
CACGUAGGGUGCAAGCGUUGUCCGGAAUCAUUGGGCGUAAAGAGCUCGUAGGCGGCUUAGUAAGUCGGGUGUGAAACCUCCAGGCUCAACCUGGAGACGCCACCCGAUACUGCUAUAGCUAGAGUCCAGUAGGGGAGUGCGGAAUUUCCGGUGUAGCGGUGAAAUGCGCAGAUAUCGGAAGGAACACCAGCGGCGAAGGCGGCACUCUGGGCUGGAACUGACGCUCAGGAGCGAAAGCGUGGGUAGCGAACAGGAUUAGAUACCCUGGUAGUCCACGCCGUAAACGUUGGGCACUAGGUGUGGGGUCUAUUCAACGGACUCCGUGCCGUAGCUAACGCAUUAAGUGCCCCGCCUGGGGAGUACGGCCGCAAGGCUAAA